rnacentral:lncRNA from 10 species
CGGAAAAGGAGCUGUCAAAGAAAUCUUAUGAAGCAAGCUGCCUACAGAAAUGUCCAUGUGUCAGGAAACUGAAGCUGGCUCAUGGUCAGCAGCCAGCAAGCUACAAAGGGCUUCCAACAGCCCAUGAAGCACUGAGUCCUGCCAAAAGCCACGUGCAUGAGCUUAGAAGAGCUUCAUCCUCCAGGCUAGGAAAGAGACAGUCGGUGUGCAGCAAGAGAAAAGAGAGGAGGAAACAUGUGGAAAGACCCAAAGAAUGAAGACACAAGAGCAUGCCUGAAUGCAAUGGGAAGUAGAUCAGUUGACCUUUGCUGAAUAACAAGGUGGACCUAAAACUGGGUGACUUGAAACAGUAAGUAUUUUUAGUUCUUGAUUCUG